UACAGAGGGUGCGAGCGUUGUCCGGAAUCACUGGGCGUAAAGGGCGCGUAGGCGGCCUGAUAAGUAGGGGGUGAAAUCCUGCGGCUCAACCGCAGGGCUGCCUUCUAAACUGUCAGGCUGGAGCACGGUAGAGGCAGAUGGAAUUCCCGGUGUAGCGGUGGAAUGCGUAGAGAUCCGGAAGAACACCGGUGGCGAAGGCGGCCUGCUGGGCAGUAGCUGACGCUGAAGCGCGACAGCGUGGGGAGCAAACAGG
rnacentral:rRNA from 1 species